rnacentral:misc_RNA from 1 species
GAUGAAGAACGCAGUGAAAUGCGAUACUUGGUGUGAAUUGCAGAAUCCCGUGAACCAUCGAGUCUUUGAACGCAAGUUGCGCCCGAAGCCACUAGGCCGAGGGCACGCCUGCCUGGGCGUCACACGUCGUUGCCCCCCACCAUCUACUCCUUCGGGAUUGCGGGGGGCGGAUGAUGGCCUCCCGUGCGCCUAGCCGCGCGGUUGGCAUAAAUACCAAGUCCUCGGCGACGCACGCCACGACAAUCGGUGGUUGCGAAACCUCGGUUGCCCGUCGUGUGCGUUCGUCGCGCAUCGAGGGCUCGAAAAAAUGCUCGGCUCCGGCUCGGCUUUCAACGCGACCCCAGGUCAGGCGGGGUUACCCGCUGAAUUUAAGCAUAUCAAUAAGCGGAGGA